rnacentral:lncRNA from 1 species
CAUACUUGUGUUAAGGAAAUGAGUAACAUUUAUCAUCAGCGUGCUCUCAAGAUGAACUCAGGUGUUUUGGCACACCCUGCAUCUUUGGCAUUCACACUCUGUAUCUCAGCCUGCAGCGUUGCUUCGUCAAUAGUUGUCAUAGGCACAAAGUCCUUCAAAUGAGAAACAGAGUUUUAGGUACCGAUGUAGAUAUUUUAGGAAGAUAUAGUCAAUUUAUUUCCUUUUUUAAUGAUGGAAAAUAUUUUGUCAUAUAGGCGAGCUUGCCAAGUCCUCUUUAAAGAAUGCCAUUUUAAGGGUCUCGUGGCUGAAGAUGUCUAUAUUUGCCAUAAGGAAGCAUGGAGGGCUUUUACCAGCGGUCAUAGUGGCUGAUAUUUCAGUAGCUUUGUGUCCCUCCUUUGGGUUUAUUUGGAAUGACCCCAGUUCAGUUUUAUGUUUCUUGCAGUGCCGUGUUAAAUACAGCAAUGGUCGGAAACAACAGCAAGCCUGCCCAAGUGCUUCAGUCCGGUGCGUUACAAUAAGCGCUGUUUAAAAU